rnacentral:rRNA from 1 species
AGAGUGAACGCUGGCGGCAGGCCUAACACAUGCAAGUCGAACGGCAGCACAGAGGAGCUUGCUCCUUGGGUGGCGAGUGGCGGACGGGUGAGGAAUACGUCGGAAUCUGCCUAUUUGUGGGGGAUAACGUAGGGAAACUUACGCUAAUACCGCAUACGACCUACGGGUGAAAGCGGAGGACCUUCGGGCUUCGCGCAGAUAGAUGAGCCGACGUCGGAUUAGCUAGUUGGCGGGGUAAAGCCCACAAGGCGACGAUCCGUAGCUGGUCUGAGAGGAUGAUCAGCCACACUGGAACUGAGACACGGUCCAGACU